AUUAUAAAAUAAUAAUUGUAGGUUAGAGUGUUGAAUUUUAUUAAAAGAAAUUAUUGUAGUGUUUAAAAAUUAUGUUGGAAGAAAGAGAAGAUGAUGUGGAAUAAAGAGAAGAUGAUGUGGAGUGUUAAAAAGUGAAAAAGAAGGAUGUUGAAUAAAUUUGCCAUUGCAAAUAGCCUUAGUUAAAAUAAAGUUGAUAUAUCUAAAAAAAGCAAAACACUUUUCUAAACCAAACAAUCUUCUAUUCAAUCGCGUUAGUUACACUCUAACUUAGUUAUAAUAAACGAAAACAAAACAGCAUAUGAGUUUUAAGAGCAUUUAUGCUCUGUUUUGGGCUGUAAUAACUUUAUUUUCCCUUUUUAUCAGUAUUUUUACACUUGAUUUUUUCAUAAUGAAAUAUUAGACUGCAAAAAAAAAAA
rnacentral:sRNA from 1 species